rnacentral:rRNA from 1 species
UACGAAGGGGGCUAGCGUUGCUCGGAAUUACUGGGCGUAGAGGGCGCGUAGGCGGAUGUUUAAGUCAGAGGUGAAAGCCCAGGGCUCAACCUUGGAACUGCCUUUGAUACUGGACAUCUUGAGUAUGGGAGAGGUGAGUGGAACUCCGAGUGUAGAGGUGAAAUUCGUAGAUAUUCGGAAGAACACCAGUGGCGAAGGCGACUCACUGGCCCAUUACUGACGCUGAGGCGCGAAAGCGUGGGGAGCAAACAGG